rnacentral:rRNA from 1 species
CAGGUAGUCGGCGGGGUAACGGCCCACCGAGCCUACGACGGGUAGCCGGCCUGAGAGGGCGACCGGCCACAUUGGGACUGAGAUACGGCCCAGACUCCUACGGGAGGCAGCAGUGGGGAAUAUUGCACAAUGGGCGCAAGCCUGAUGCAGCGACGCCGCGUGCGGGAUGACGGCCUUCGGGUUGUAAACCGCUUUUGAUCGGGAGCAAGCCUUCGGGUGAGUGUACCUUUCGAAUAAGCACCGGCUAACUACGUGCCAGCAGCCGCGGUAAUACGUAGGGUGCAAGCGUUAUCCGGAAUUAUUGGGCGUAAAGGGCUCGUAGGCGGUUCGUCGCGUCCGGUGUGAAAGUCCAUCGCUUAACGGUGGAUCUGCGCCGGGUACGGGCGGGCUGGAGUUCGGUAGGGGAGACUGGAAUUCCCGGUGUAACGGUGGAAUGUGUAGAUAUCGGGAAGAACACCAAUGGCGAAGGCAGGUCUCUGGGCCGUUACUGACGCUGAGGAGCGAAAGCGUGGGGAGCGAACAGGAUUAGAUACCCUGGUAGUCCACGCCGUAAACGGUGGAUGCUGGAUGUGGGGCCCGUUCCACGGGUUCCGUGUCGGAGCUAACGCGUUAAGCAUCCCGCCUGGGGAGUACGGCCGCAAGGCUAAAACUCGAAGAAAUUGACGGGGGGCCCGCACAAGCGGCGGAGCAUGCGGAUUAAUUCGAUGCAACGCGAAGAACCUUACCUGGGCUUGACAUGUUCCCGACAGCCGUAGAGAUGCGGCCUCCCUUCGGGGCGGGUUCACAGGUGGUGCAUGGUCGUCGUCAGCUCGUGUCGUGAGAUGUUGGGUUAAGUCCCGCAACGAGCGCAACCCUCGCCCUGUGUUGCCAGCACGUCAUGGUGGGAACUCACGGGGGACCGCCGGGGUCAACUCGGAGGAAGGUGGGGAUGACGUCAGAUCAUCAUGCCCCUUACGUCCAGGGCUUCACGCAUGCUACAAUGGCCGGUACAACGGGAUGCGACAUGGCGACAUGGAGCGGAUCCCUGAAAACCGGUCUCAGUUCGGAUUGGAGUCUGCAACCCGACUCCAUGAAGGCGGAGUCGCUAGUAAUCGCGGAUCAGCAACGCCGCGGUGAAUGCGUUCCCGGGCCUUGUACACACCGCCCGUCAAGUCAUGAAAGUGGGUAGCACCCGAAGCCGGUGGCCUAACCCCUUGUGGGAUGGAGCCGUCUAAGGUGAGACUCGUGAUUGGGACUAAGUCGUAACAAGGUAGCCGUACCGGAAGGUGCGGCUG